AAUCAACGCUGGCGGCGUGCCUAACACAUGCAAGUCGAACGCGAAAGUGGAGCAAUCCAUUAGUAGAGUGGCAAACGGGUGAGUAACACGUGGGCGACCUACCUCAGAGUGGGGGAUAACCUUCCGAAAGGAGGGCUAAUACCGCAUGACAUCCCGUGUUUGGAUACACGGAGAUCAAAGCCGGGGAUCGCAAGACCUGGCGCUUGGAGAGGGGCCCGCGUCCGAUUAGCUAGUUGGUGAGGUAACGGCUCACCAAGGCUCCGAUCGGUAUCCGGCCUGAGAGGGCGGACGGACACACUGGAACUGAGACACGGUCCAGACUCCUACGGGAGGCAGCAGUGGGGAAUUGUUCGCAAUGGGCGAAAGCCUGACGACGCAACGCCGCGUGGAGGAUGAAGAAUUUCGGUUCGUAAACUCCUUUCGACCGAGAUGAACACCCCGCAAUUUAAUACGUUGUGGGACUGACAGUA
rnacentral:rRNA from 1 species